rnacentral:tRNA from 1 species
GCGGGUGUAGCUCAAUGGUAGAGUUCUGGCCUUCCAAGCCAGCUGUGAGGGUUCGAUACCCUUCACCCGCUCCA